UAUUUUGAUUUCUUACCUUAUAUCCCUGAUUUUAGUUUUAGGGUCUAAUUUUCAGUGUUGACCAUUGAUCAUGGUGCAGACUGCUAGAGGUUUUAUAUCAAGACUUAACCAGGCACAUUGCCUUCCAUUUGACAUGAUCAUUCCCAUCAGGGAUCCUACCAUCAUAGUUCUGCUGGGGAAAAAUUGUAUCCCUCUAGGCAGUGCUGUAAGUUUAAAUUCUAAGCUUUCAAGAAAAAUUUGCAAACCAGCUUGCCAUUCCUAAAUUUCCCUUUGCCACAUAUCUUUGAAGCUAUUUCUACUUACAGGUUUCUAAUAAUCUAUGGACAUUUUUUAAUCAGAACCUGAAUACUUAUUCUGGCCUUUAGUCAGUAUUUUAAAAUAUUUUUAUUUAGUUUUUUUAUUCUCAACUUUUAUUCUAAACAUCCCAAACAAGAAAGAACAUUUGGUCAAUUUACAUUCUAGGCUUAGUACAACUAAUUUACAUGGAGCUAGGGAACCUCUGGCUUGUAGGGUAUUUAGGGAUGGGUUGAGAAAAAAAACAAAACAAAAGCUUUGAUAUUUCUUUGACCGUAAUUGCAUUUAUGGACAUGGAUUUGUAUUUUAGUUCACCUUGUGUCUUGAGGUUUGCAUACUGGAAGAUGUCAAGACAAGGUAAUAGAUCUGUACAGUAGACUUUGAGAAUUGAUUACAUUAGUCCCAAAGCCUUUAGGGAAAGCACAGAGGGCAAUGGCCACCUCAAAUCCUUAGUGGAUUUAGUUGGGGGGGGGUGUUAAUCUGUACCAACUACUUAAAUUUUCAGGGCAUGGUUAGCUGUUUAUUCAUUUCUCAACCUGGACAGUCACUCUAGGAUUUAUAGCCAGAAGAGAGCUGACCUUUGAGGGAAUUUAAUCCCAGUACUUCAUAUUAUGGAUGAGGAAAUUGAGGCCCCAAGAUGCUAACUGACAUGUGCAGAAUCAUGCAUAUAGAUACUGAGUAACGGAGCCUGGAUUUGAAACGAGAUCAUCUAAUGCCCAAUUGAAUGGCUUUCCCCACCACUAUCAUGGACUAUGAGGACAACCGACAUCAGUCUGCUUUUUUAUUAAAUAUCAGUUCUUAAGGGACUUUGAAUAUCAUUCUGCUGUUCAUGCAUUUUCAAAAGCAACCAAGACUUCAUGUGAUGAUAUUUUGAUUUUGGGGAAAAUUGGUUUUAAGUGAGACAGAGUUAUAUGAAGUAAUGAGCUUCACUCUUUUCCAGAGUUAUCCAAGUCUAGUGGCAAGACAAA
rnacentral:lncRNA from 1 species